rnacentral:lncRNA from 1 species
UGCUUUAAUCACUUAGUGCUUAGUGUUGAUCAGGAUGUGCACAGCUUCGGGUAGUUGCAAGAGUAUAACUGUCGCGUACAUGGUUAUUGUUAUUGAUGUUGCUGCAUACGUAUAUUAUAGGCGGCAUGUAGUUACUUCUAAAAGCGAAGUGUGCUUUAUUCAUUUAACAGAAAAAUCUUAAAAUGCAAGAAAUGAACGAUCCACAGUGUUGUGUUUUAAUAUGAUAUGAUAUUGCUGUCGAUAUAUUGCACUACUUUUCAUUUAUAGUGUGUAUGCCACUCCAUAUCGAGAGUAAGAAAUAUUUCGUUAACACAAAUUUUCUGUGUGUUAGUGGACGAACGAUGACAUUUUAAAAUGAAAUUGUUGAAAUGGAGCGGCCAGUCAUCAGAAAGUCUUCUGGAAAUGACCAGUAAAAUUGAUGUUUAAGUUACCUUAAUUUUAGAGCGAGCAGAUAUGAAGAACUAAGAAUCAAUGUUGAGAAGACAUUAUUUUUCUAUAAACUUUUUGUUUCUCAAUUAAUUCUUUGAGACG